rnacentral:lncRNA from 1 species
CCUGUUCCUAGAUGUUGUAGUUCUUUGACUCAAGGAUUUACUGGAUGGACAGUGACCUCAUAGGAGGGAAAGGAGCAUUUGGAACAGCCAGAAGAGAAGGCCCUAGAUUAAGCCUGGGCCAGUGACAGAGCCUCACCGUCUGGGGAUGGACGUUUCCCCAGGAAGUUAUUGUCCAGACACUGGAAGACAUCAUCGAAUGAAAAGGUGGAAGCAGGCAGAUCCUGAUGUGUAGAGAGCCACAGAAAGAGCCAGAGCCAUCAGCCUGGGAAGAGAAAGGAAGCCAUGCCAGCUGCUCGUAGGAAAUGUGCCACUGAAAUGAAAGUUACAGCUCACCUUCCCAGUGAUAUUAGUGACAGCUGGGCAGCACAACUUCUCUGCAGCCUUCCGUCACCACAGCUCAUCUUGAAGCUCUGACUGCAUGUUGCCAGUGUUUAAAAUCAGAGUUUGGGGUGAGUGAAUGUGGCAGGGGAAACCCUCCCUUGAGUUUUGAUUAUACCUAGGAUUAUUGGAUAUUAAGUUCGGAGAAAUAAAGACAUUCAAGAACAUAAAUGGGAGUUCCCGUCAUGGCACAGUGGUUAACGAAUCUGACUAGGAACGAUGAGGUUGCGGGUUCGAUCCGUGGCCUUGCUCAGUGGGUUAAGGAUCUGGCGUUGCCGUGAGCUGUGGUAUAGGUCACAGACAUGGCUCGGAUCUGGCGUGGCUGUGGCGUAGGCCAGCAGCUACAGCUCCCAUUGGACUCCUAGCCUGGGAAUCUCCAUAUGCCACAGGAGUGGCCCUAGAAAAGGCAAAAAGACAAAAAAAAAAUAGCAUAAAUGUAUGCUUGAUCCCAGAAAUGUGAGGAAUCCACAUCUUAUGCCUCCUCUCCUUUGCCUUGAAUGGAUCCUGGCCCAGC